CGGGAUGUAGCAUAGUGGUAGUGUACCCGCUUUGGGAGCGGGCGGUCCGAGUUCGAUUCUCGGCAUCCCGA
rnacentral:tRNA from 1 species